rnacentral:rRNA from 1 species
ACGAACGCUGGCGGCGGGCUUAACACAUGCAAGUCGAACGUGAAGCCCGGGGCUUGCUCCGGGUGGAAAGUGGCGAACGGGUGCGUAACGCGUAGGCAACCUGCCCUCAAGUGGGGAAUAACCAUCGGAAACGGUGGCUAAUACCGCAUAAUGUCUGGUUCUCGCAUGGGAGCCAGAUCAAAGCCUUGUGUGCUUGAGGAUGGGCCUGCGUCGGAUUAGUUAGUUGGUGAGGUAACGGCUCACCAAGGCUACGAUCCGUAGCUGGUCUGAGAGGAUGAUCAGCCACACUGGCACUGAGACACGGGCCAGACUCCUACGGGAGGCAGCAGUGAGGAAUAUUGCGCAAUGGGCGAAAGCCUGACGCAGCCACGCCGCGUGGAGGAAGACACCCCUAUGGGGCGUAAACUCCUUUUAUGCGAGAAGAAAUCCCCUACAUGUAGGGGCCUGACGGUAUCGUAUGAAUAAGCACCGGCUAACUCCGUG